rnacentral:rRNA from 1 species
CAGGCGGAAGGCUAACUCUGAUGUGAAGGCCCGGCUCUCAACCCCGGUACUGCAUUGGAAACUGGUCAUCUAGAGUGUCGGAGGGGUAAGUGGAAUUCCUAGGGUAACGGUGAAAUGCGCAUAUUUAACGAGGAACACCAAUGCCGAAGGCGGAUUACUGGACUAUAACUGACGCUGAGGCUCGAAAGCGUGGGGAGCAGACAGGAUUAUAUACCCUGGCAGUCCACGCCGUAGACGAUGAAUACUAAGUGUCGGGAAGCAUAUCUUUUCGGUGCCGCCGCACACGCCUUAAAUAUUCCACCUGGGGAGUACGUUCACAAGAAUGAAACUCACAGGAAUUGACGGGGACCCGCCCAAGCGGUGAAGCAUGUGGUUUAAUUCGAAGCAACGCGAAUAACCUAACCAAGUCUUGACAUCCCGGUGACCGGACAGUAAUGUGUCCUUUUCUUCGAAACACCGGUGACAGGUGGUGCAUGGUAGUCGUCACCUCUUGUCGUGACAUGUUGUGUUAAUUCCCGCAACGACCGCAACCCUUAUCCUCGGUAGCCAGCAUUUUGUAUGGGCACUCUGGAGAGACUGCCAUGUAUAACCUGGAUGACGGUGGGGAUGACGUCAAUCUUCGUGCCCCUUAUGACACGGGCUACGCACGUGCUACAAUGGCGUAUCCUGAGGCGAGCGAGACCGUGCUGAGGACCAGAUCGCAUGAUAACGAUUCACUUACGACUGUGCUCUGCUGACUGACUACUCGAUACUGUGAUCGCUAGCAAUCGCUUAUCACACUGCUGCCGUCAGUACCUUCUCAGGGCAUGUAAUUUCCGUCCGUNAAUCCAAGUGAGUUGGAAAUGCCCGAUGUCUUUGAUCCAGCGCCACGAGCGUACUCGCCGAGGCAAGAUCNAUAGCUGAAGUUUAGUCCUAAAGACGGAGCCAAUCGAAAUGGCGGCUG